UUCUGCUUUAUAUGGUGAAGCUACUCUCUCGUAUUGCUAAUUGUGUCCAGGAAAAAAUUUAUAAAAUUUGGACCAUGUCACUUUCCAUUGCGCCAGUGCUGAAGUUUUUGAAUGGUAAUCCUCAUGUUACAAUUCAUUGAGCAGACGUAGCUGACAUCGCAUACUGGUGACUUGACAUACCAUAUUCUCUAGAUUUGGGUCUGAACUGAUGUAAUUGGUCACCUGAAAAUAAAAUUAAAGGUGUACAAGUCUUGGUAGUAUUGAACAGUUGGCUCCGUUCUUGGUGCAUAAUCAUUGCUUCUCUGUUUAAAAUUUUUCAAAUACAUAAAUUGGAUAGUUGUCCACUGAGGGAGAAAGGUUAAUAAGUUUACUCAUCAGGCUCUCUUUUAUUUUCAUUUACAACCAUCAAAUUUCCAAGUUAUUAAUGCAUCUACAGUCUUCUAUGAUCCCCUGGAAAUUUCCAUCAGAAAUUAUCAUGUGCAUAAUCGUACUAAUGAUGACCAUCCUUCCCCCAUGGCCCCAUCGGUUCACUUGAUGAACCCCCCUGCUCCUUCAUUCCUUUGAUCUUCUGUGCGAUCUUCCUCUUCCCCCAAGAUUCCUUCUUGAAAUUGUUUUGAUCGUUUUAUAGACAUUGUUUCUACUGCUUUCUUUUGGUGCAAAACCAAGUAAUAUUUUGUUCACAAUAACUUAUCUUAUUUGAUUUCAUUUGGAGAGCUUCAUUAAUUCAUCCAUAGGUGCAUGGGAGUUUUUUACUCCCUUAAUUUAUCAAUCUGAGUUUAUUUUAUUUUUUUAUAAAAAAUCUUAAAACUCAAUUGAAGGGACAGUUGCGGUGAAGAAAUAUUUGGGAGGGAAAGUGGAACCAAGAAUCUAAAGGAGGGAGAUGUAGAUUCCAAAUAUUUUCAGUUUGUUACCUCAUAGAGACCAAAAACAUUUUCUUUGAGAGAGUUGAGGAGGUAUUAUGUUGAGUAAGUGUGAGAGAUGCCGAGGAAGACUUGAUCAAUUGAUUUACUAAACUAUCGUCUUAAACCCUAGGCAAAAGAUAUAUCCAUCCCCUAGAUUGGAACCCAGUAAAUAUCAUUUAGAGGCUAUGAAGCAUAGAUACUUCGUGUGAGGUAGGGAAUCAAUCAGUAUUGGUUCCAGAUACAUAUGUAUUUGAUGGCGUGUCUGUUUUUACUUUUUUUUCUUAAUAACGUCUCACCUUCCCAAUUCUUGAAGGGUACAUGCUAGACAUUCCCCCACCCCACCUUCCUCACCACCAAAGAAAAAAAAAAAAAGAAAAUCUUUGACAAGUCAACAAAUUUUUUUUGUUUAUCUUCGUACCUCUUCCUCUAGUCAUCUUCUCUAAUCGAUCUAACUCUGGUGCCAACUGCCACCAACCUUGUCUAUUGUUGUAUUUUAUUGACUUGUAAUUCAAUUGUCUCUAAUGUUGCCUUUUGUAUUGUAUAUUAAUGUUAGAAGUUGUACUAUUGUCAUUAACAUGAAAUUACAUGCUUUUUAGCAGAUUGCAUUUGUAUCCUUAUGUUAAAUUUAUUUAUAUCCUAGACUUGUUUGUUUGUUUUUCUAAAUAAAAAAACAUAUCCUCAAUGUAACUGACAUCCCAGUUCUUCAGAAACUCAUCUUCUUCGAAUCUUAUCGCAUCCAUAUUCGUGUCUGUGAUUCAUUGAUAAGAGGUUUUUUCUUGAGCUCCUUUUCAUUGUAGAUGAAAUUCUGGCGGCUAAGGUCCCUAGGUGAUAUGGUUUUUCCAUGUUUUUCUUUGUUACUUGUUGGAAUACUCUCAAAUCAGAUUACAAUGAAGGUGUUCUAGGACCUUUUUUCUUUAUAGAAUGGCCUUAUUUAUUCUUAGUGUCAGCAAAGCAAAACCUAUAUUAUGCCUUGUUCCCAAAUGAGUUGGAAACCACUAGACUGACUAAUCUUACCUCAUGACAUCACGAGCAUCAGUUCACCUGAUGAUUGAUAGCUGAAAAUCCAAGAGUCCAGUGUUGCAGCCUUGUAUUAGUUAAAAGUUUAGUACUAAACCCUGACAUGUAGAAAUAUGGUUUGAAAGAAAUCAACACGUUUUCCACCAUACGGCUUCAGUAUGGUCCAACCGAUUCGUUUAAAUGCAUCAUCAUGGUACUCCAUGGUCAAAGGAUUUCAGGGUUAUUCCACACAGGACAUUCACCUCAACUGGCAAGCUUUUAUUGUUUAGCCAUUUUGAGUCCAACUAAGGAGAUUUAGGGAAAGGCCCUGAUUCUGCUCGGUUUUGAGUUGUCUUUUAGUCUUUUUUUAAUGAUAGGCUGCUGAUGUAAAGGUCUUAUGUUUUUUACCAUUUUUAAUUUCUCAAUGUCAUUUCAUUUCUCUAUUUUUCGGAUAUGAUGAGGACGCUAAAGGGGUGUCAACCUAGUUGAGAUGUCCAGAGUAAAAUCUUCGUCUUGGGUUGCCUUCAAAUGCCAACUAUUCCAUUCCAUAUCUAUGGCCAUCAAGGGGAAAAAUUCAGACCACAACCGGUGGUAUACAAAGUUGACCUCUCUUCCCCUUCAUUUUUAGUUUCAUGAUUUUUCUUUUUCUUUUUAUUAUAUUUUUAGCCAGCAACACUCUCCAUAAACCAACCUCAAUAUGCUGAUAGCACCACUAAUUUCUCCUACGGACUUAAUUGGGUUGAAACUUGGUAUGGAAACCUACUAAGUGAAUUUUCAAAAUCAGAGAAACCUUGAAAUUAAAAAAAGGCAAUCUCCUUCCGUCAAAACAUGACUAAUCUUCUCAAGGCUGUCAAAUACUUUGAAGUCUCCUUUGACUUUGACUUAGACUUGCCUUUCUAGAUUGGAGGUCUUGGGUCUCGUUCUGCCAAUGUCCUCAAAACAGUGCCAACAUCAUCCAAUGUUCUUCAGUGACUUAGCCCUCAAACUAUCUCGGUCUCAACUUAAAUGGACCUUAAAGCAUUUCUUUUGGAAACCAAUCAUUGAAGGUUGGUGGUAGGUACACCCUUAUUCUCCCUUCUAAAAUCUCCAAUUUUACUCCAUAUUCCUCUCCAAGGUUCCAGGAAAUUUCCAAAUCUUUAACUUAUACCAACGUACCGCUCAUCUUUUGAACAGGUAGCUUUCUGUGUUGAACAUAAACCUCAGAAGACAACUUUAAAGUCGAGGUGUUCCAAGAUUGGCUAUCAGUAUUUUUCAUGGAUGAUUGUUGUCUAGGUGACAGGGUCUGUUCUCUCUGUUCCAGAUUCUUCAUUCUUGGGACUGGCCUUUUGACCUUUCAGGUUUUCUUGGAUUGCAAACCUCCUAGAAUGCAUUUUCAUUCCAAAUUUAUAUAAAGUUAUUUGAAAGAACUAUAGAUGUACAAAGAUCCAACACAUGAUCCAAAGAAGUAUGCAUCUGAUCAUCUCCAUUACUAGAUGUGUUCACUCCAGAAUCCGAAGAUUAGUUAUAUGUUAUAUCCAUUGCUUGGUGUCUUCUCCUUGUGGCAUUUGCUCUUUACUCUUAAUCACUUUUGAUGGAUCCCUGGCCCUUGUCAGGAAUGUAAAAUUCAACCUUGUAGCCCUCAUGCUCUCUGACCCUCCAAGAUUCUAUCAACUUCUUUUGGAUUAUGUGGCCGGAGACAAACCAAUGAAUUUUUGUAGGCAAA